rnacentral:rRNA from 1 species
CAGGGAUUGCCUCAGUAACGGCGAGUGAAGCGGCAACAGCUCAAAUUUGAAAUCUGACCCCUUUGGGGGCCCGAGUUGUAAUUUGUAGAGGAUGUUUCGGGCGCGAUGCCGGUCUAAGUUCCUUGGAACAGGACGUCAUAGAGGGUGAGAAUCCCGUAUGCGACCGGCGAUCAAGUCCAUGUGAAACCCCUUCGACGAGUCGAGUUGUUUGGGAAUGCAGCUCAAAAUGGGUGGUAAAUUUCAUCUAAAGCUAAAUACUGGCCAGAGACCGAUAGCGAACAAGUAGAGUGAUCGAAAGAUGAAAAGCACUUUGGAAAGAGAGUUAAACAGUACGUGAAAUUGUUGAAAGGGAAGCGCUUGCGAUCAGACUUGCUCGGGGGCGAUCAGCCGUUAUUCUUAGCGGUGCACUCGCCCGCGAACAGGCCAGCAUCGGUUUGGGCGGUGGGAUAAAAGGCUCGGGAAUGUAGCUUCUUUCGGGGAGUGUUAUAGCCCGGAUCGCAAUGCCGCCAGCCCGGACCGAGGACCGCGCUUCGGCUAGGAUGCUGGCGUAAUGGUCGCAAGCGACCCGUCUUGAAACACGGACCAAGGAGUCUAACAUCUAUGCGAGUGUUUGGGUGUUAAACCCAGGCGCGGAAUGAAAGUGAACGGAGGUGGGAGCCCGUCAAACGGCGCACCAUCGACCGAUCCAGAUGUCUUCGGAUGGAUUUGAGUACGAGCAUAGCUGUUGGGACCCGAAAGAUGGUGAACUAUGCCUGGAUAGGGUGAAGCCAGAGGAAACUCUGGUGGAGGCUCGCAGCGGUUCUGACGUGCAAAUCGAUCGUCGAAUCUGGGUAUAGGGGCGAAAGACUAAUCGAACCAUCUAGUAGCUGGUUCCUGUCGAAGUUUCCCUCAGGAUAGCAGUAACGUUUUCAGUUUUAUGAGGUAAAGCGAAUGAUUAGAGGCCUUGGGGCUGAAACAGCCUUAACCUAUUCUCAAACUUUAAAUAUGUAAGAAGUCCUUGUUACUUAGUUGAACGUGGACAUUUGAAUGC